ASAGUUUGAUCCUGGCUCAGAGCGAACGCUGGCGGCAGGCUUAACACAUGCAAGUCGAGCGCUCGUAGCAAUACGAGAGCGGCAGACGGGAGAGUAACACGUGGGAACGCGCCCUUCGGUUCGGAAUAACUCAGGGAAACUUGAGCUAAUACCGGAUACGCCCUAACGGGGAAAGAUUUAUCGCCGAAGGAACGGCCCGCGUCGGAUUAGCUAGUUGGUGAGGUAAUGGCUCACCAAGGCAACGAUCCGUAGCUGGUCUAAGAGGAUGAUCAGCCUCACUGGGACUGAGACACGGCCCAGACUCCUACGGGAGGCAGCAGUGGGGAAUAUUGGACAAUGGGCGCAAGCCUGAUCCAGCCAUGCCGCGUGGGUGAUGAAGGCCCUAGGGUUGUAAAGCCCUUUCGGCGGGGAAGAUAAUGACGGUACCCGCAGAAGAAGCCCCGGCUAACUUCGUGCCAGCAGCCGCGGUAAUACGAAGGGGGCUAGCGUUGCUCGGAAUUACUGGGCGUAAAGCGCACGUAGGCGGAUUGUUAAGUCGGGGGUGAAAUCCUGGAGCUCAACUCCAGAACUGCCUUCGAAACUGGCGAUCUUGAGUCCGGG
rnacentral:rRNA from 1 species